CGGUAACCCCCACCGAUGCUUUGGGCUCUUGGGUCUUUCUCUGUCUCAGCUCCAGCACCUACAGAUGGCAUGAAGGGGCCUUGCAGAAAUGGAAUCAGGGCCCAGACCUGUUCAGACUCCUUAGGGAUGAUGAGGUCACAAAUGGCCAGUCCCCGCCCACGGAUGGGGUCCCUGCUGCAUUGCUUUCACCAUAUUUCUUAAAAUGCAAGCAUAUCCUUCCCCUACUGUCUACCUGGAGAACAGAUUUCUUUCUGACAGUGUCUGAUGUGUGCAUUUUACACCCUGUGUCACACUGGCAGCUUUCCAGGCCUGUGAUCUCAGGGGAUGUUUGAGGCCCAGGAGAGGCCAGUGGUCUCUGUUCCCUUUGCAGUCUGGAACUGGAAGGGAUUACUGAGGUGGGGAAGGCUGAGAGCUGCUGUUACCAUGGACACGGUGGCCGUGGGGACCGGAAACCACCGACUAGCCACAGAGAAGAGCCGUGAACUCCAUUGUCACGGGUGCCAUGGGGGACCCUGGGUGGAGGGGCAUGAGCUGGGGCCCCAGGCAGCUUCGAGAAGGAGGCUGUUGAGGCAUUCUGUGGGUGGAGUCAUUCAUCCAGCACACACGUUGGGCUUCUGCUCCGUGGAGGUGCCAUGGGAGGCUGGCUGUGCCGUGGACACUGACAGGGGAGCAGGUCCUCCUGGGUGUCUGUGUGAACACACCCACGAUGAUGAACAGGUGUCACAGCCUUUCGGAAAGGGAACAUAAAAGUCACUGGAAAGUUCCGGCUCCUGCCACCGUCGGGCCUCUUUUGAGGCUCCACGCACGACUCAUUUGUCACCAGAGGUCUCUGCCUCCGUGCUGGCACCGGGAGGGACAGACUGGGGGCUGCCUUUAGGAUUCUGUUAUCAAGAGGAAGUAAAUGUGUCCCCUGUGUCAGGAGAUUUCCUGGGCAUGGAGUAAGAGGUCCGAGGGCGGGAGGAGUCAGAGAACAAAAGGCACUUCUUCAAGCCUCAGGCUCAGUCCUUAUCUGCAGCCUCCAAGUGUUCCCUCGGUGGCAGUACCUUUGGUACCCUCCCCAUCUGCGGGUGGAGACGGUGACGGACAGCAGCCUCUGGUCUCUGCAGCUGCCGCAUGGGAGGUGCCUUCCAGAAGGAUGAAGAGUCAUUCUUUCUAGGGAUGAGGUUCAGGGUGGGGUGCAGGGGCUUGAAGGUUUCGGGUAAGAUUGAGGACCCUUCACCAAGUGGCCUUGGGCCCCUGGAAGUCACUUAUGCCUCUGGGCCUUGCUUUUAUCACCAGUAGAAUGAGCAAAUAGCACAUUUGUCCCGAUAGAGUUGAUCUGAAGAACAAUGGACCUGUGCACGACGCUUUGAAUCGGGCAGGAAGAACCCUCUAGAGCCUCGCUGGAGCAGAUUCGUGUCUCCGGCUCUUGCCCAAUCACAUCCUGGCACAUAGACAGCUCUUGGUAACGCGACGAAUCGUGGGGAAUGCGGGAGGCUCCAGAGAAUCAGAGAUAAGGACACAUUCCAAUUUCAAAAUGGGGAGACAGGCAGAUUCUAGAAACUCUCCAAACCAGAAAGCGUUUGGGUGGCCAGAAUCUGGGAACUCACAGGCUCACUGUAUUCCAUACUGGUUAGACUUACUUGGGAUGCCUUUAAUGUUUGAUCACACAUGUAAAACCAUCAUUUAUAAAUCUAAACAGAUUCUGGAGAGGGUUGAAGCAACAAGCAGUGUUUAUGCUGGAGUGGAAAAGUUGAGUAGUUGGCAUGGUAGCUGCCUUUGGAUGUGGGAUAGAUAUUUCUAUGAAUGGGAAAAAACUCAUUUCUCUGUGCGACCUUGAGGGAAGAAUUGACAUUGUGGAGAAAUAGGUUUUCAACUGAUAAAAGAAAGGAGCUUCUAAAAGUCUGAGCUCUUCAAAGUUGCAAUAGGCCACCCAGCCAGGCAGCGAACAGCCUGUUCCUGGGGCCGCCUCGUUGAGGCUGGGCUUCCAUAGGUAUGACUCAUGCAGAUAGAUCCUUGAUGGGCUGAGUACCCAAGUUACUCAGAAAUGGUACUUGGAUUAAAUGGUACCCAAGUUACUCAGAAAGAGCUGAGGUCUUGGACAGUUAGCACAGGAAAUUUUUGGUGUCAGAUUUUUUUUUUUUUUAAGGGCAGCCUUCUAGCAUUUUCCCAACGGGAAUCCAGUGUGUGCUUCCAGCAUGUGCCUUUCUGCCUGCUGGUCAUUACUGUCCUGUCUCAUUUUAUCAGGACUCCAAAGGAUGAUGCUCAUGUGGUGACGAGGCUUGGCAGUUAGCCAGGCGCUCUCUCCCCGGGGAGCAGGCGCUGGCCUUCGCAGACCCACAGCCCCCAUCUGGAGUCUACGACACCUGCCUUCAUGGCGGGGCUGGAGCUGAGCCUCAGAGAAGCUGCCCGUGUUCUGUUUGCAGCCCUGAAUGUACCGCUUUGUAAAGUUCAGCAAGUCCAGGGGCCAAUCCUACAAUCUUGGUCCUGAGUCGUGUCUGGAGCAUUUUGCCCCACAUCAUUACGCCCAUCCCGCCAGCCUUAGAUGAAAGCAGAGGAGAGAGAAAGAGACACCAGUUAAACAUAGUAGAGCCUCUCUGGUCCAACCUCCUACCUCAGGCUCUGGAAUCAGCACAUUCGUUGGUUCGUGAAACG